AAAUAAUUUAUAAAUAUAUUUGAUUAAUAUUGAGUUUUCUUUUGUCAUGUUGUUAUAUUUACUAUGACCAAGUAUUAGUUAUUUUUGUGUUAACUUUACAUUUUCAACAUGUCUUGCUGUCCAUUAUUAUUAUUAUUGUAUGAAACAUUGUAUGACCCCUUGUAUUAUAUCAAGUCAAACACUUACAUGUGUGUGUUUUCGUCAGGUGUUCGACAGCACGGGCUCCUUCUUGUCCUACAUCAACACAUCAGCCGACCCCCUGUAUGGGCCCCAGGGCCUGGCCCUCACCUCAGACGGACACGUGGCCGUGGCCGACUCUGGAAACCACUGCUUUAAAGUUUACAGAUAUCUGCAGUAAAAGAGAAGCAACACAAACGAUAUUGGACAUUAACAAUACACACACUCAGAGCUGGAACAUCGUUCUGAAAGGUCAGGCCUCAGUUAAACUUCAGUUCUGUCACCUCCAUCAAAGUGAGUACAACUGUGGAUUCAAACAUGGAACCAGAUGUUUCAGCUCCGUGUGCAACAGGACUUUUCCUCAAGGUAAAAUUCAGUCUAUUUUUUUCCCCCACAUACUUCAGUCUGUAACACUUCAGUCGACCAGCAUCGUAUUUUAGCCAAAGAAUCUGAAUCUUCUGGUCUGUUUCUGAUGUCACCUGCUAAUGUGCUUCACAAAAUAAUAAGUCUGGGUUAUAAAAAACAAACUGUGGUUCUCAGACAUCACUGGAGACUAAAAUAAGUAACUUCACAAAAAAAUAUUAACUAAUUUUCUUUGGACAUUUGGCAGCACAAACCUGACCCUUAUAAGCUACUUUAAAAAGCUGCACUGAAGCCAGACUCUGGUCCCAAACUCCCCAGACAGAUUUUGAUCUAAAACCUGAAGGUCGUGAACUCAGAUCAGUCUCAGUGACGACACCAACAGACGACAUACUGUACUGCAUGUCUCUGAUCGAUUCCCUGCAUGAUUCUCUCCAACGCCCACAGUCAGAACUUUGCGCAUGAAAACAUGGAAUGAGGUCACAGCCAUAAAAGGUUGCACUUUUUUAAACGCCUAAAACAGACAUUUGUCAAAUCAUGUUCUGUUUAAGGUCAGAAUGAAAGACAAAACACAAGAGAAAAUCUAACUUCAUUCCCAGAAUUCUCAGAUUGAUAAAAAAUAGUUUUUUGUUCUGAAGAAACUUUUAUGAUCUAGAUAUCAGAAAUCUGCCAAAUUGAAAAAAAUCUGCAAUAAAAAUAGUGAUCAUUAAAUUCUUUGUAAAGAUUCAGACAAUCAAGUACAAAGAAAGGUGGAAUUCUGGGGGAAAAAAGUCAAAAUAUUAACAUCUAGAACUCUUUUUCCCAUCAGCCCUGAGCUUGUUCUGUAUCUAAAAGCACAUCAGUUCUGCUGACAUGACCUUCAGCUACUACUUCCUGCACUUUGAUAUUUACCAGCUCUUGUACAUAGGCCUAAUAUUUAACUGUAAAUAAGGAUUUAAUGUGUAUAAUAUUCCACUCCAUGUCCUACAUAUUCCAGCACACACUGCAGUGAAUGGAGAGGUUUUAACACUGGAGUGUAAACAGUUACAGUAGAGCAUCAUGUGCCAAGGCAGCACGCCAAACAUCACUGGAUCAAAUCACGUCCUGUGUUUGUUAUUAGCUCUAUGAAUAUUUUUAUUUCAAGAUUUAUUAGAAUUUUUUUUAAUAUAAUUUGUUCUACAUAGUUAUUUUUCUAAUUUCAAAGCCUCUCUUUGCCAAACAUGGUUGUACAUAAGCCUUAGCCGUCAGACACUGACAAUGUUCAGCUCAUACCUGUACGUCAGUGCGUUUACAUGUGCAUUUAAAAAAACAAAAAACAAAGACCAAGUCCUCUGAAGGUUGUGCAUUUACAGUCCAGUCCAGUUUAGUCCAGUCCAGGUUUACAGAAACAAGGACAGAAUAGGUUUCUUUAUAGACAUUUGUUUCUUGUUGACAUGUUAGCUAUUAGCGAGUUAGCCACCACAGCAGGAUGAACACAAUCAAUGUGGUGGUGGAUUGGACAGAUAUCGUAACUGCUAGCUUGUCUUUAGCUUGUUGGCUAGUGAAGCAAUUUGGUAACAAUCCAGAAAUGUAGAAAAAUAUUAACUAAAAAUAAAUAAAUAGUAUUGAAAAAAACAGACAGAAAGGUCUCAGGUAAGUCCGUCAGAUAACAGCAGGGUUAGCAAAAUAGCUAAGACAAGAUUUUGUUAUUAAAAAUAUACAGAAAAGAUUAGAAGAUAUCCAAAACCAACAACAAACAUAAUUCUCUUAAAAACACCAAAAACUAGUCCAAGGAUGACUGAUGUUUUUAAAUAAAAAAAGCUUAAAAAUUAGCCAAAUAUAGUAACUAAAUGUUAGCAAAAUAUUUUAAAUAUGUUAUUGUUACAAAAUCAUAUAACUUAUUUCUGCUUACUUUUAGCUUAAUUUGAAAAAAAAAAAACAUUCAAACAAAAACAAAAAAUCAGGGCUACCUUCUGUCUUUUUUUUAAUAUUAUUACAUGAGUUGUACUGUAUGUUAGACCAACAGUGUCAGUUCACUCCAAUAUCAUGUAAAUGCACUGACUCGCUGUUGUACCUGGUUCAUCAAGAUGGCACCAAAAAAAAAAAGAAUUAUACAAUUCAUAUGCAGUACUACUAUACUAUACAUUAUUAUAAUUAAUAUAUGUAUUUAUUUAUAUAAUAUGUGCGUAUUUAGAUGUAUACUGUAUAUAUAAUUAAAUAUGUAGUACAUAUAAAUUAUAUUACAGUUUUAAACUCAGCUGAAAAAAAACCCACCUUCACUGUCACGUUUCCCUGUAGUUUCUUUUGUAGUGUGGUUUUGGACGUUUCCUGUUGUUUGACUCCAACACCAUCUAAAAAAAAAAAGUUUGUCACUGAUUAUUCAUCUGUACUUUAGUCUGACUGCGCCACCUGUUCUAUCAAGAUUUUUUUCAUGAGAAGUUUUCUUUAUUUUUUUCUUCCAGUUCUAUUUAAGAAGCACAUGCAAACGCACCGCUAACCACUAUGAUUGAUUACCUUAUGUACACAGAACUGGAUGUAGAGGACCUGUAACCAAGGCAAAGGUAUUGUUGUAUCUAUUAAAGAAAACAAAAACUCGAGA